rnacentral:lncRNA from 1 species
CGCAGCUCCCGGGGCGCUCCCGGUGACCCUCUCCCAGCGCUGCCGCGGGGUCGUGACCUCCCCGUUUAUUGGCAUUAAAUGCCGCAGCGUUGUCCCGACCGCGGGGGCCAAUUCGCACACCGAGGAGAGCGAUUUCUGUGUUUUAUUCCAGUUUGCCCAAAGUAGGAAGCGGGAUGGUAACACGCGAAAGGCUGGCUCACCGAUCAGCAAAACUUUACGCUAUUUAUGCAUUUCAGCAGAGGCACCAGCACGAAUUCCGUAACUUUUCUAUUCAUGAUUGCUCAAACCGCUCUAUGCUGUUACAUCGUUUCUCAUGGUGAUCCGGCAGCUCCCCCUCCUGAGGGGAUGUCACCUCCUGCUUACUCAGUGACUUCUGUCUGGUUGCAGUGAAUGUGAAAAUUCCAGAUGUUGCAACACCUAAAGCCUGUUCUGGAGGUCAGCAAGUGCAAGAUUGAGCUUGAAAUCUUCAACUCCAAUGUCUUAGAAUAAACAUGAUGGAGUUUUCUUUCCA